ensembl:lncRNA
AAAGAAGUGAACAAUAUAGAGAAUAGGUUGGCAUUUAGGACACAGGCAGAGACAGGCAAGGAGCGGUAAUGGGGAGUUACUGUCCUAUAUUCCUCUGGUGGAGGGAGGGGCUAUAGGUGGAGGGAGGGGCUAUAGGUGGAGGGAGGGGCUAUAGGUGGAGGGAGGGGGACUAUAGGUGGAGGGAGGGGCUAUAGGUGGAGGGAGGGGGACUAUAGGUGGAGGGAGGGGGACCAUAGGUGGAGGGAGGGACUAUAGGUGGAGGGAGGGGGACUAUAGGUGGAGGGAGG